GACUGAGUGAAGUGCUUUUCUGUUUGUUUAGAAAAAAAUUGUCCGCUGUCACCUUGUUGAACGUAAUACCAAAGAGACAACGGGUGCUUUUCAGGGUUCGAUUCGUUAAUAAACCAGGAAACAGCGUACAAAGAACUAUUUUUUUCAGCGCAUUAACUUUUAAUUGUUAGAGGAGGAAGUUAGGGGAUAGCGUAACAAAAUGGCACCAUUAAGAAUCCGCCAGAACCAGACAGGGUUCAUACCAAUUGUUUAUUGGAAAAGGGCUUUUCUGUUUACUUUUCCGUAUGUUUAAACUAAUAUUAAUAACUAAACGAAUAUAAGUUCUGUCUCGGGCACAUUUUUGCUUCAUGUUAGUAGUGCUGUUUGGUUCCACGAUACUCGAUAUAGUAAUAACACCAGGAUUUUUGCUAAAUAAACCGAUAUGUAACUAUAUUACUUUUUUCUAUAAUAAAAAGGAAAAAGGAAGCAUGCAGGGGGCAAUGCAAUACUCUGAAAUAACAUGUUAGUUUCCAGAGAUCUAAGGAAAAGGCCAGACGUUAAGUUGAUCAAUCGGUUAAAAUCAAUGCCUUAUCCAUUGGAGCCGUCCCAGUCCAUGUGAAUGACUGAACUAAAAAACUCACCUCAUGUAUGAUGUAUGCCCUGGGAUAAAUUGUAUGGGCCCGAUAUAUCUUAAUUUUGUUGGCUAUUUCUUGGACGAACAAAAUUAUCACAAGGAACUCUUUAUCACAUGUUUACCAAGCAAAUUGACAAUGCAGUAAUUGGAAAGUACAUACUCAAACUACAUCAGUUAUCUGUGGGGCAGACUACUAAGCUCGGUGAAACUUUGUCUUUUGUAGAACCACUUAAAAGCAUGUGUCAAAAGUGUAAAUAUUUGAACCCUUGAAAGUGCUAGCUAACCUUUAAUUCAACAAUGUCAGCAUCAUCCAGUCUACAUUCAUUGCAACAUCCUGGAAUGCAAACAUUUAUGUUCUGUCUGAUUUUCUUAAUAGAUUGUGAAUAAUUGAAGAGUCUGACAGAAUUUAAGAGACCUACCUCCAGAAUUAAUUUUAGAGUCUUUUUCAAAUGGAGACCUGUUGUUGCAACAGGGAAGUCUUACCACACAUAUCUCUGACACUGAGCCUCCACGAGACCUCGACAUCAAAAAUCCAGUUCCCUCUGUCUCUCGCUCAUCCAUGUGUUGAACAUGGAUAGCCAUGGCAUGUAUGAUAUAUGUGAAAAGAGUUCAUUGUUGUUCCUCAAAACUAAAUCUAGAUAAUUAAAACAAAUGUGUCAUCCUCAUCCCAGAAUCAUUUUUUUCUUUGGUACAAAGGAGCAAGUUAUACCAUAAAA